rnacentral:lncRNA from 10 species
CCCUGUCUCUUCCUGUAGACUGUGGUAUCAGAGCCCAAGGCAUGCACAGAGGCAAGUUUCCCAGAGCUGCGAAGGUCUGCUGUGGCUUUGCUCCAGAAGUUAGCGAGACUGUGAACCACCAGAGGAACAAACGACUCUGGAUGCGCCACCUGUAAGAGCUGUAACAGUCACUGCGAAGGUCCGCUGCUUUGCUCCUGAAGUCAGCAAGACCACGAACCCAUGGGAAGGAAGAAACUCCAGACAGCAUAUUUAAGAACUGUAACACUCACUGGGGUGGCUUCAUUCUUGAAGUCAGAGAGACCAGGAACCUGCCGGAAGGAACCAGUUCCGGACACAGUAUCGCUCUUAUGCCUUUGCAUCCUCAUGGCUUAGCUCCCACUUAUGAGUGAGAACACACAAUGUUUGGUUUUCUAUUCCUGAGUUACUUCACUUAGAAUAAUAGUCUCCGGUUCCAUCCAGGUUGCUGCAAAUGCCAUUAAUUCAUUCCUUUUUUUAUGGCAGAGUAGUAGUCUUUUUUUUUCUUUUGAGACCGAGUCUUGCUCUGUUGCCCAGGUUGGAGUGCAGUGGCACGAUCUUGGCUCACUGCAAAGCUCCACCUCCCAGUUCACACCAUUCUCCUGCCUCAGUCUCCCAAGUAGCUGGGACUACAGGCGCCCGCCACCUUGCCUGGCUAAUUUUUUGUAUAUUUAGUAGAGUUGGGGCUUCACCCUGUUAGCCAGGCUGGUCUCUAUAUCCUGACCAUGGCUGACUAGUAUUCUUGUGUGUGUGUGUGUGUGUGUGUGUGUGUGUGUGUAUACACCACAAUUUCUUUAUCCACUUGUUGAUUGGUGGGCAUUUGGGCUGGUUCCAUAUUUUCGGAAUUGUGAAUUGUGCUGCUAUAAACAUGCAUGUAGAAGUAUGUUUUUCGUAUAGUCACUUCUUUUCCUCUGGGUAGAUACCCACUAGUGCGAUUGCUGAAUCAAUCUACUUUUAGUUCUUUAAGGAAUCUCCACACUGUUUUCCGUAGUGGUUGUACUAGUUUACAUUCCCACCAGCAGUGUAGAUGUGUUCCAUAAUCACCACGUCUAUGCCAAC